GCGCCUGUAGCUCAGCCGGAUAGAGCAACGGCCUUCUAAGCCGUGGGUCGGGGGUUCGAAUCCCUUCGGGCGCGCCA
rnacentral:tRNA from 1 species